rnacentral:rRNA from 1 species
CAGCAGCCGCGGGAAUACGGGGGGUGCAAGCGUUAAUCGGAAUUACUGGGCGUAAAGCGUGCGUAGGCGGCUUCUUAAGUCGGAUGUGAAAUCCCUGAGCUUAACUUAGGAAUUGCAUUCGAUACUGGGAAGCUAGAGUAUGGGAGAGGAUGGUAGAAUUCCAGGUGUAGCGGUGAAAUGCGUAGAGAUCUGGAGGAAUACCGAUGGCGAAGGCAGCCAUCUGGCCUAAUACUGACGCUGAGGUACGAAAGCAUGGGGAGCAAACAGGAUUAGAUACCCCUGUAGUCCCUGUCUCUUAUAA